rnacentral:rRNA from 1 species
GGCCGCAGUAUACUAACUGUGCAAAGGUAGCAUAAUCAUUAGUCUUUUAAUUGAAGGCUGGUAUGAAUGGUUGGACGAGAUAUUAACUGUUUCAUAAGAAUUUAUAAUAGAAUUUUAUUUUUUAGUCAAAAAGCUAAAAUUUAUUUAAAAGACGAGAAGACCCUAUAAAUCUUUAUACUUAUAUUAUUAUAAUUUUAUAGAUUUUUUUUGUUAUGAUAAUAGAUUGUAUUUUAUUGGGGUGAUAUUAAAAUUUAAUAAACUUUUAAUUGUUUAAAUCAUUAAUUUAUGAAUAAUUGAUCCGUUAUUAGCGAUUAAAAAAACAAGUUACUUUAGGGAUAACAGCGUAAUUUUUUUGGAGAGUUCAUAUCGAUAAAAAAGAUUGCGACCUCGAUGUUGGAUU